rnacentral:rRNA from 1 species
UCUGGUCACCUCCCACCCGUGUUUAUUUACCUUGUUGCUUCGGCGAGCCUGCCUUUUGGCUGCCGGGGGACGUCAGUCCCCGGGUCCGUGCUCGCCGGAGACACCUUAGAACUCUGUCUGAAGAUUGUAGUCUGAGAUUAAAUAUAAAUUAUUUAAAACUUUCAACAACGGAUCUCUUGGUUCCGGCAUCGAUGAAGAACGCAGCGAAAUGCGAUACGUAAUGUGAAUUGCAGAAUUCAGUGAAUCAUCGAGUCUUUGAACGCACAUUGCGCCCUCUGGUAUUCCGGAGGGCAUGCCUGUCCGAGCGUCAUUGCUGCCCUCAAGCACGGCUUGUGUGUUGGGCCCCGUCCUCCUUCCGGGGGACGGGUCCGAAAGGCAGCGGCGGCACCGCGUCCGGUCCUCAAGCGUAUGGGGCUUUGUCACUCGCUUUGUAGGCCUGGCCGGCGCUUGCCGAUCAACCAAACUUUUUAUCAGGUUGACCUCGGAUCAGGUAGGGAUACCCGCUGAACUUAAGCAUAUCAAUAAGCGGGGGAAAAAGAAAA